rnacentral:rRNA from 1 species
AGUUUGAUCCGUGGCUACAGGACGAACGCUGGCGGCGUGCCUAACACAUGCAAGUCGAGCGGGGAUAUACUGGAUGAGAGCUUCGGCAGGAUUCCGGGAUAUUCUAGCGGCGGACGGGUGAGUAACGCGUGAACGAUCUGUCCCUGACAGGGGGAUAACACUUGGAAACAGGUGCUAAUACCGCAUAAGACCACAGAGCUGCAUGGCUCAGGGGUCAAAGGAGCGAUCCGGUGAGGGGUGAGUUCGCGUCUGAUUAGCUAGUUGGUGAGGUAACGGCCCACCAAGGCGACGAUCAGUAGCCGACCUGAGAGGGUGAUCGGCCACAUUGGAACUGAGACACGGUCCAAACUCCUACGGGAGGCAGCAGUGGGGAAUAUUGGGCAAUGGGCGAAAGCCUGACCCAGCAACGCCGCGUGAGGGAAGAAGGUUUUCGGAUUGUAAACCUCUGUCCUUGGUGACGAAGGGAGUGACGGUAGCCAAGGAGGAAGCCCCGGCUAACUACGUGCC